UGAAAGGGGAAAUUAACAAUAACACAAUAAUAGUGAGCCAGCUAGACCUAAUCGAUAUCUAUAGGACACUUCACCCCAAAACAAUUCAUUUCACCUUUUUCUCAAGUACACACGGAACCUUCUCCAGGAUAGAUCACAUCCUGGGCCAUAAAUCUAGCAUUGGUAAGUUCAAAAAACUUGAAAUCAUUCUAAGCAUCUUUUCUUACCACAAUGCCAUAAGAUUAGAUGUCAAUUACAGGAGAAAAACUGUUAAAAAAUCCAACAUAUGGAGGUUGAACAAGACGCUGCUUAAUAACCAACAAAUCACAGAAGAAAU